rnacentral:lncRNA from 1 species
GAAGCCAAAUCUAUGGAAACUCGACUCUCGAUAUCCAGUCUUCAUGCAUCUAAUAUGACCGUUUUCAUAUGCAUCUCUGACCUUUUGUGGGGUGGAAUGGAUGACUUCACUUGCCUCCAACCGCAAUGACUAAGACUUAAAGACUGUGUUUGCUUGGAAGUACAAUUUGGCUUCAGUGGAAUCAUUCUGUCUCAUGUGGAUUAUGCAUCUCCAGAUCUCCUUGUGCCGUUCAGAAGACAAGAGUUCUGAGGGUGAGUGCUUCCACUCAACGUCAUGGCCAAGUGGGAGCUUUAUUCAUUUACAACAAAUAUUUAAUGAGCACAUAUUCUGUUCCAUGAACCACUCUAACUACUAAGAAUAUGUCAUGAGUAAGAUAGAUGAAACCCCUUCUUUCACAGGGUUUAUAUUCUAGAGAGAAGGAGAUAGAUAAUGAACAAGAUUUUUGGUAAGAUUUUUAACGAUAAUUCCAGCUAUUGAUAGGGACUGUGAACACAAAGGAAACAAUGUGGUGAGAGGAAGAGGGGCUAAGGUGGCAGAGAGCUCCCUGGGGAAUGUCACUUCUAAGCUCAGAUUUAAAUAACAAGGAGGCGCCUCCAGGCAAAGAUCUGGGGGAGGUAUUCCAGGCAGAAAGAACAGCGCUUAAAGGCUUGAAGGCAGGGACCAACUUGGCAUGUUCAGAACUAAAAGAAUGUCGGUAUGGCUGGGGUAAAGGAAGGAAGGCCAACGAACUGCAUAGGGGCUAGAUCAUGUAAGACUGUGGGCCGUGAUAAGAAAUAAAAUUUGCCUGCCUGAUACGGACAGAUCAUUCAAAUAUACUGAGUAGCACCAAAGGGAAAAAUGUAGUUUUGCUAUAUAGCGAAGUGGUUAGGGGCUCAGGCUCUGGAAACAGAACUCUCUUGGGCUAUAUUCCGACUCUACCACUAUGAUGUGUGAGGAAGUGGCCUAACCUCUCUGGGCCACAGUUCCCUUAUUUUUAAGUUGAAGGUAAUAGUAGUUUCUACUUAGAGAUACUAAUUUGUUUUGAGGAUCAAAUAAGUUUACAUAUUUAUGGAGCCUAGGAUAAUUCGCGGCAUGUGGUAAUGCUUAGAUUUUAAGUGUUUCAUUGUUGUUGUGCUAUUGUUAUAGACUUAUUGAUAAUGAGAAGAGGACUUUCUUUUUUCUUUAAUGUUUAUUUAUUUUUGACAGAGAGAGAGAGAGCACAAGUGGGGGAGGGACAGAGAGAGGGAGACACAGAAUCUGAUGUAGGCUUCAGGCUCUGAGCUGUCAGCACAGAGCCCGAUGUAGGGCUUGAACCCACAAGCCGCAAGAUCAUGACCUGAGCAGAAGUCAGACGCCUAACCGACUGAGCCACCCAGGAGCCCCAAAAGACUUUUUUUUUAAGUUUAUUUAUUCGUUGAGAGAGAAAGAGAGAGUGAGCACAAGCAGGGAAGGGGCAGAGAGAGAGGGAGAGAGAGAACCUCAAGCAGGCUCAAUGCUGUCAGUGCAGAGCCCAAUGCAGGGCUCGCUCCCACAAACUGAGAGAUCAUGACCUGAGCCAAAAUCAAGACUCAGACACUUAACCAACUGAGCCGCCCAGGCGCCCAAGGAAAGGACUUUAAGUGUGCUCUUCACUACGUUACAUUUAAAUUUUUUAAAUGGUUAUUGUAAUAACAUUGCCACAAAUUGCAUUAUGUGUCCUUAAUUCUCCUUCCCUUCCUUCUCUUGCCAUGGCUUCUGUAUUAAUCUGCCAGAGCAAACAACAGAAUUUUUUAAAUUUAAAAUAAAAAUCAUAAACAACAGAAAUUUAUUUUCUCACAUUUCUAGAAGCUAGAAGUCCAUGAUCAAGGUGUUAACAGGGUUGGUUCUUCCUGAGGGCCGUGAAAGGAAGAUCUUCUUGACUUGCAAAUAUCUUCUAUCCAAGUCUUCACAUUGUCCUCUCUCGGCCUGUGUCUCACUAUCCAAAUUUCCCCUUUUUAUAAGGACACCAGUCACUUUAGAUGAAGGACCACCUCAUUUAUUUUUUAAAUUCACAUCCAAAUGAGUUAGCAUAUAGUGCACAAUGAUUUCACGAGUAGAUUCCUUAGUGCCCCUUACCCACAUAGCCCGUCUCUCCUCCCACAACCCCUCCAGUAACCCUCAGUUUGUUCUCCAUAUUUAUGAGUCUCUUCUGUUUUGUCCCCCUCCCUGUUUUUAUAUUAUUUUUGCUUCCCUUUCCUUAUGGGAUGAAGCCCCACCUUAAUGACUUUAUUUGAACUCGAAUAUCUCUGUAAAGACCCUGUUUCCAAAUGAGGUCACAUUAUGAGGUGCUAGCGGUUAAGAGGUUUCCACAGGGACUUUAGUGGACACAAUUCAAGAGCUUCACCAAAUGGAAUCCACCUCUUCAUCCCACUUAUUUUGGGCUUGGUCAUAUAUGACUUGCUUUGGCAAAUAGAAUGUGGGCAGGAGUGACACUUGCCCGUUCCGAGACAAUAUCUUAAGAGGCAUCACAUGUUUUCACAUGUUCCUCUUGAUCAUGUGAUCUCUGCAAUGAGAAUGUCAUGCCCUAGGUCACCAAGGUGACUUUAGUCAGAGUUUCAAAAUGAAACUAAGCCGAACCAAAGCUAAAGUCUGGAGUCCAGCCUAGCCAAGCUGAUCUACAUCUGGCCCACAAUCACUCAGCAAACCAAUUGGCAAGACAUAAAUAUGUUGUUAUAAGCCAUCAGAAGUUCUGGGGCUAUUUGUCAGGCAGCAUUAGCACAGUAAAAACUGGCUAAUGAAACAUUUAAAAUAUUUCAAACAUUUUCACUCAGAAUAUAAUAAUCAACCAUUUUUGUUUGCUCACCUCCAUUCUUCCAGUCUUGAUCCUGAUGCCUUCAUACAUUUUUAGCGGUGUUUAAUUAUGUGCCAUUAUCAUUUCAGGCUCUGAUUUUGUUUUCUAUUUAGCACCAUGUCAGACACCUUUCAUGCUGCUUCACAGUUGUCAUAACAGUCAAAGGUCCUGUCUACAUAGCACCUCCUUCAUCUUCUCCUCUCUGGGGGUCUCCCGUGAACAACUCAGCCCAUCUCUACCACAGUUUGCUUCGUCCCUAGCAUUUCUAAUGCUUCCAGAUUGUUGCAGUUAUAAACGCUGUCGCAAAAGGGUGUGGUAAAGCCAGGUUGCCUGCAGGCCUGCCUGCUGACCGCUGGCAGGCCCCCAGGAUGUACCAGUCUAUUCCAUCUUGCCACUGGUCAGUGAGUGGUCGUCAGCCUCGCUGAAUUUUAGAAGCCCAACUGUGUCAGUGCUCUCGAAUUAACCAGAUGCGGAAAGACAGUGAUAUAAACCAAACCCAUGCAUUUCCAGCAAGGAGAAGCUCCCCAGGUCAGGGAUUGGAUAGUUUCUAGCUCAUAAUGAGGGUUUCCACUUUCUCAAUACUCCUGCCUGAGGAGCUAAGUUUGUCCCAAGAUUGGCAAAUUUACAAUCAGAGCAAGAGGAGAAUGAGGGUUAUUUCACUCAGCCUGGGAGGGAGGUCUGAUGAGUGGCCACACAGCACUGUGCUUGAGACUCAGGUCUCUUUCCUCAGGCCUAUAUGAGACAGUCACUGAGUCCUUACUCUCUGACACCUUGGUGUUUCUAUGUUCUCUACAGAGGAAUCAGAGGGCCUCAGCUGCUGGAGAUGGGGUGAAUAACUGUCAUCAAAUUGCACUUGUAUAGCUGAAGAAAUGUGACUUCCACUGCUUGGGAUAUACAUUUGGGCUAAUCUCAAGUAACAUACUUGAAGAAGUAUUAAAAGGAUAUUUAGCACCGGGGGUGGGGGUGGGGCACCUGGCUGGCUUGGUUGGUAGAGCAUGCAUCUCUUGAUCUCAGGGCUAUGGGUUUGAACCCCACGUUGGGUUUGCUUAAAAAUAAAAUGUUAAAAAAAAAAAAGAAUAUUUGGAAUUUGAAGAAGUAGGUUUGCGUUUCAUCCCUUAUCAGUGUCCUAAAUGGCCUUGGCUGAAAAACUUAACCCCUCUGAGCCUCAGUUUCCCCAUCUGCCCCUGCAGAGGCAGACUUUCCAAGGUCAUUAGAUGAACAUGUUUUGAGAUCUAACAGUGUUGUAAAAAUGGCAGUUGUUGUUUCUACGGCUGCUUGGGGCUCCCCUCCAUCACACAGAAUUCUCCAGGCUCACCGAACUCCUUGCAAAGUUUGCCAUGGUAGAAUGCGCCAAUGACUAUUAUACUCCAAAGAGCCCCCCCCCCCGAAAAGUCCCUCAGGGGGUAAAACAGGGGCUAUAAAUAGCUGUGUACCUUCUACACACAUCUCCAUGGCUUAGUGACCUGAAAUUCCGUCCAUUGUCUCCCUUCUUGAACUCUCAUUAAGGAAUGGUUUUAAUUUGGGGGUCCAGGGUGGUGUUGGUGAUGUAUGGAGAUUCUAGUGAAAUGUCAGGGUGUGCCAAAGUGAGGUGAGCCAUGAUUACAAAUGCUAACAAUCAUCAAGAUAAUCAUAUCGCGGGGUGCCUGGGUGGCUCAGUUGAAUAAGCAUCCAACUUCAGCUCAGGUCAUGAUUUCAUGGUUCAUGGGUUCGAGCCCCACAUCGGGCUCUGUGCUGACAGCUCAGAGCCUGGAUCCUGCUUCGGAUUCUGUGUCUCCAUCUCUCUCUGCCCCUCCCCUGCUCACACUCUGUCUCUCUUUCUCUAAAAUAAAUAAACAUUAAAACAAAUUUUUUUAAAGAUAAUCAUAUCUCGUGCCUUUCAUUUCUCAAAGUCCUCUUGGAAAAAAAGUAUGAAGUAAUCUUCAGUAUUUGUAAAGUGAAUGGCAUCUAUACACAAUUUUUCUGCAGUUUGUCUUUGCCUGCAUCUUCUGGUUUGUUGAAAGCAGCAGGUGCAGGUGACAAUUAGCAACUGGUGUUUGUGUGCAUAUGUGUGGGGAGACAGAAACAGCAAGAGACAGAAAAGGAGGGGGAGAGAGAAAAAGUAGGAGGAAAGAGAAGGUGAAUAGAAGAAGAGGAACAAGAGACAAUAAAUGCUUACAGUGAUAAGAUAGAACUGAAAGGAAAAAGGGAGGAUAAAGAAGAUGAAGAAGAAAGAAGGGGUGAGAUGUAGCAAGAGAGAAGAGAGGAGGAAGAGGAAGAGGAGGUAAAGGGAGGCAGACACUUUCCAGCGGGAGCUGACCCCUCAAGCUGGUUUCAGGAAAUGAGCCACAUGUUCUGGAGGGCAUCUUGCUCCAUUGUUUCUAAACUUCGAAGCAUCAGAAGUUCAAUUUUGUUAGAACACCCAGAGAUGACCAUAGGCUAGGAACGGAGUUUCAUACGAGCCAAACUCAAAGGAAGUUGAAAUAAGUUCCAGAAUAACCCUUCAUUAUCAAAGAUAACACCUUCCCAAUAUUCACAGAUUGGUGUCCACUCUCCUGAGUUCCCUGUUCCUGGACUCAGACGACAUAAUUAGUGUCAGACUGGAGAUCUGGCAAGUCUGGUGGGAUAUUCUGAUGACCUCCCAGAAGGGCCCAGACUGAACUUUUUUUCUGACCCGAAUUCUCAUUUCUGCCUAUGACUCUCCAUGAAGUAGGCAUCAUCAAUCACUACGGCAGUUUUUCACAGCACAGAGCUGAGGCUUAUAGACAUUAAGGAACUUGCCCAAGACCAAACCAUAGUGAGGAUUCAGGCUUCAGUUUGACUGCAGGGCCCAAGGACAUGACAGGUGUGAGAAUAGUUAGAACCACACCUGCCCCAUGGUAGAUACUCAGCACAGCUGUCACCUCUGCCACUAGAUGCCAUCACUGAGCCCAGGGAAAUGGGCAAUUCCAACCACUGCUGCCCAAAUCAAUCCUCUGCCAUAUUUGCUUUUUACAUGUCUCCUUUCAGCUAUGGAUGGCUUAAAUUAACUAAGCCUAAGUCAUGUAUUGGAGCUUCCAAGAUGUUCUGGGAAUUGCUACGUAGUGGGCAGGAAAAUUCAUAACCACUGACCUGGCCUGAUGCACACAAGCAUGUUCAGGCAGCCCUGUUAUUAGUUGAAACACAAUACGGUCAAAGCAUCUGUUAAAAUAUCAAAAUCCUUCCGAACCAGCUGGUAAGUCAUCACUAUCUCCAGCUCCCAAGUGCCCACCACCAUCCAGGAAAUCCCAGCUUUCCCCUAAGAUACUCCCUCAGUUCAGCGACUGGGAUGGUUACCUUUAUGUCACCUUUACUGGGCCAUGGGGUGCCCGGAUAUUUGGGUAAACAUUAUCGUGGGUGUGUCUGUCUGUGAGGGUAUUUCUAUAUGAGCUUAACAUUUGAAUCAGUGGGUCGAGGAUAGCAGAUUGCCCUCCUUAAUGUGGGUGGCCCUCACCCAAACAACUGAAGACCUGAAUAAAACAAAAAGUCUGGGCAAGAGGGACUUCUCUCUGACUGUUUCAAGCUGGGACAUUGGUCUUCUCCUGCCUUUGGAUUCAGACUCAGGCUGGAACUAACACCACUGGGUCUCCUGGGUCUCUAGCCUGUUGACUGCUGCUCUUUGGACCUCUCGGUCUCUGUAAUCAUAUAAGUCAAUUCCUUCUAUAUUGGAAGAAGAUAGAUAGAGGUAGAUAGAUAGAUUAAUGAUAGAUAAUAGAGACAGAGACAGACAGGGAUGAUAGAGAGAGAGGCAGAGAGAGAUCUGGUAUAUAUCUGUUUCUCAGGAGAACCCAGAUUAACACAUUAUCUAAAGGGUUGAUGCCUGGCCAACAGCCUUUGGGACCUUCCUCAAGCCAGCGUGGCAGAGUAUCACCGUGAUUAGCUGCUGCCAGAGACGCCCCAGUAAUUAAACAUUUUGGUUCCCCCAACAGGUGCGCGCCUCCGACUGCCCCAGGCAACAGCGUCCCCGGAGAGCACAGAGUGGAGGAGUCACCAGUCUGAACUUCUGUAUCACGCCAGGUCCCAUCCAUCUGCUGGAAGAGAGGCGUCUCGUCCUGCCAGUCCAUCAUCAGUGCCUGCUCGCCAGGCCUGAGCCAAAAUGCUUCAAUAAGUCUUUGCCAUCUGGGGGUGGAAUCGACUGAGGGGAAGUGGGGGUCCCCCAAGAGGCAUGGUGGUUGUUACCAGACAUCCAUAGGUGUCUGACUUGUAAUAGAUCUGUGUCCAAGAUCCAGGUCCCAUACCUGUAAGUCCCUGUGCCAAGAGCCCACAUAAAAGGAAAUCACAGUUUUGUCUUCAUUCUUCCUGGACCCAUUCACACACAGACCUAGAUGGGAGGGAACUGCAUGGUCUUUUCCACUCUGCAUAUAUUUUCCAGGAUAAUCGGAUGUAGGAGAAAAACAUAUUUAGUCAAAUAAAGAAGUCGGUUUGUCACAGAAACUUCUGUAGGAGGGGAAAAGGCUCAGAAAAACCACAGGAAAGUAGACAAACCCCCAAGUUUAUAGGGAGUGGCAAUUGCUGUUUGUUGUCUGUGCUCAGCAGUAAAACAACUCAACAUUGG